rnacentral:lncRNA from 1 species
GAUUGAGAUCCAAAACCUCCCAAGACACUUUGGAUGUGCGGUUCCCUGAAGUCCAUCCAGAUGAUCCUUAAUAAGACGGCAGACGGUACAGGCAUAGACUCCAACACCCUGGCCUUACAGAUGAAGGGCCAUCCUGAGCUGAGGGACUAGCUCCAUGUCGUCACCUCAUGGGGGCCUUUGCCUGUCUACCCUGGGGUGGUCAACUCAGAAUUACCUGAGGAAGUACGGUACCUGUCCUCACGGAGGCUACGGUCUCGGACUGGACGAUUCUUGACCUGGAUCCUAAACCGAAUGCAUAUCAGGGACGUCUGCUUCUACCCACGCUUCAUAAAACGAUGCAUGCCAUAGAUGCGUCAACAUGUCGCCUUCAAUUCUUGAUUCUAAGCAUUGCUUAAUAUUUAGUGUGGGAAAUCAAGAUUAAUAAGGGGUGGGGCUAGGUUGAUCAAGUGGGGGGGGGGGUGAUUGUAUGCCCUAAGACCAAAUUUCUAGAGAUAAUUAUGCCAUUGUAUUGUAAGGUAUCUCUUCAAGGUGCAGUUUUAAGCCUUCUUUACAGUUCGCUCUUUUAGUUUCAAGUAGUUUUGGGUUUUUUUUACCAAAACUCAUAACAAAUUGCAAGGGUUCAACCUAACAUUUCUUAUGAAAUCUGGCCAAAACAGGACUUGCCUCCAAAUGACUCGGCAAUGCCCUACGAUGUAAGAUGAGUUUCAAUCAGUGUUCAAAAAUCCAUUUUUAUGAAGAUUUGAGCAAAAAUUACUGGUUUAUUGAUUGGAAAGAAGUUAUCUUUUGUGACCGCAAUUUCUCCCACAUAUUUGACGUGAUUAUCUGUUGGAUGGAAUAUCUGACCAGAAAUCGUGUUGGAAUUGAGCCUCAAGUACUUUAGGCCCCCCCCCC